UCAAGAGGAAUUUCUGUGCCCAGCAAGCCAGCAUUCCGAAUUACGCCCCUGUUGUCAACUUCACGACAAUAUUUGAGCAUAUCAAGAUAUUUAUCGCUAUUUUCUUACCUUUAUCUGGAUUGAUUUUCACUGUGUUAACUAUGUUCCAAAUUGAAUGAUGUCUUUGCUCUGCUAUUGAAUGAGAAGGGAUUUUCAAAUUAAAGAUCAAUUAUGGAUCCGAUAAAAAGCAAAGCUAAUUAUUUCCGGGUUUGUCAACUGUUGUUAGAUAAAGGAGGAGAUGCUUUGAGAGCUGCUUUGAAAAAUUCUCUACAAUCGAUGCGUCCACCUUCCUCCUUGGCGUCCGCUUUGAAAGCCAACAGAGCCACACUACAAGGAAUACGAUACAAUAUAAUUAAAGCCCCGCAAUGGGAUCUACUCUUCCCAAUAUCUGGUACACCAGAUUCAAAAAGCUUCGAUAUCACCUUGCUGACUGUCCUACUUCGAAAUAUUUGUGGAUUGUCUCCACCAGCCACUGGGUGGAAUGUUAUGCCUCCAGUUAGUGAUACAUCUAUAUCAGCAAACAUUUUGAGAGUCAAAAUGUUCAGGAAUGAAGUGUAUGCUCAUAUUCCAACUGCAAGUUUGGACGACACAACUUUUGAAAA